GGAGGCUAUCUUUUCCUCGGGAUCAAGAAGGUCCAUCAUCCGGAUCAUCAUCAAGACCAUCUCCGAGUCCAUUAUCUCUACAUGGAUCCUCACCCAUUGAAGAUAUUGCGGGGACUUCUCAAAUGGAUCCACCGCAGCAUCGAGACGCAUCGCCAGAUCUAGACAAUGCUCGUGAUGGAUUUGGUGAUGACGAGAUUGAGCACGAGAUGAUGUCUGGAUCUUCUCAGUCAGAGAGAGCAUGUCUCCGCCCUUGGACUCCAUCAGUAUAUCACAUCC